rnacentral:rRNA from 2 species
UCGAACGCGACUGUGGCUUCGGUUACAGUUGAGUGGCGAACGGGUGAGUAACACGUGGGUGACCUACCUUCGAAUGGGGGAUAACGUCCCGAAAGGGACGCUAAUACCGCAUAACAUCCUGCCUUUGAACAGGCGGAGAUCAAAGCCGGGGAUCGCAAGACCUGGCGUUUGAAGAGGGGCCCGCGUCCGAUUAGCUAGUUGGUGAGGUAACGGCUCACCAAGGCGACGAUCGGUAGCCGGCCUGAGAGGGCGGACGGCCACACUGGGACUGAGACACGGCCCAGACUCC